GGGUCCUCUUAGCCAUCGAUAGUGUCCCAUUCCAGGGCAAGAAGACCACCCUGUUAUUUGAUCACUGUUGAGGCCUUCAUAACUUCCUUCAAAUAAUACAUUUGAAACACCAUCAGGAGUCGUUCCUAUCUCCAAUAAUAUCACCAAACAUCGAGAAUCUCUUCCAAGGUCGUGAUACCAAACGCGUUGUAUCUCACCAUCUAUUC
rnacentral:lncRNA from 1 species